rnacentral:lncRNA from 1 species
CUUAGUUAUAUGAAAUGUAGCAUUUACAAAAAAAUAACUUAUAUUGCUGAGAAGACUGCAUAUCUGAACAGUUAUAAUGCACUUCUUUCUAUUUCAUUAGUUGUGACUUGACUCUAGAAACUUGAAUGAAAUAUUGAUUUCUCUCUCAGCAAUAAACGAGUCUCAAGCUGGAUGAAAUUACAGGGGUUUCCUGGUUGAAGGGGUACAUUCUGUAUCAUUUCGAGACAAUAUACCUACAUAAAGUCGAUUUCUAUCUUUUUUGGGAUAAGAAUUUAUCAAUGAUUAUGAAAUAUUAUAGAAAUUGUUAAUCUUGACAUUUUCUUUUAUCUUUUUUUUAUUUUGCUAAAUGUAGUAUUAAACCAACGUAGUUACUCUG